AUUGUACGCUGGCGGCAGGCCUAGCACAUGCAAGUCGAGCGGGGUUUUCGGACCUAGCGGCGGACGGGUGAGUAAUGCGUAGGAAGCUGCCCGAUAGAGGGGGAUACCAGUUGGAAACGACUGUUAAUACCGCAUAAUGUCUACGGACCAAAGUGUGGGACCUUCGGGCCACAUGCUAUCGGAUGCGCCUACGUGGGAUUAGCUAGUUGGUGGGGUAAUGGCCCACCAAGGCGACGAUCUCUUGCUGGUUUGAGAGGAUGAUCAGCCACACUGGAACUGAGACACGGUCCAGACUCCUACGGGAGGCAGCAGUGGGGAAUAUUGGACAAUGGGCGCAAGCCUGAUCCAGCCAUGCCGCGUGUGUGAAGAAGGCCUUCGGGCUGUAAAGCACUUUCAGCGAGGAGGAAGGGUGGUGUGUUAAUAGCACAUCAUUUUGACGUUACUCGCAGAAGGAGCACCGGCUAACUCUGUGCCAGCAGCCGCCGUAACAC
rnacentral:rRNA from 1 species